rnacentral:rRNA from 1 species
UACAGAGGUCCCAAGCGUUGUUCGGAUUCACUGGGCGUAAAGGGUGCGCAGGUGGUUUGGCAAGUUUGACGUGAAAGCCCCGGGCUUAACCCGGGAAUGGCGUUGAAAACUGCUUGAACUGGAGGGUCGGAGGGGGGACUGGAAUUCUUGGUGUAGCAGUGAAAUGCGUAGAUAUCAAGAGGAACACCAGCGGCGAAGGCGAGUCCCUGGACGAUACCUGACACUGAGGCACGAAAGCCAAGGGAGCAAACAGG